GCAAUUCGGCAAAAUCCUCGAUGUUGAGAUAAUCUUUAAUGAGCGUGGCUCCAAGGAGGUCCAGCACUGGAAUAGCAGGGAGUUUUGCAGCAUGCCAAAAUUAUUCCUGCUUUAGUACGAAAAUGGGAGGCCCCCCGUGUUACUGAGUGGGGUGUAGCUGCACGAAGCACCUGGUACUCACAUAGUAAUGUAAAAACAACAGUUUGGUGAUAUGAUGGUGAAGCAAAGGAAAUGGAUGUCUGGAGGCCACUCACUCACUCUUUGGGCUCUUUCUCCACCUUCAGCAAAAAAAUAAAAAUCUGAAUGCAAUUCUCCUCUCCUGUGGUUUCCAUUCUAAUCUAACGAUAUGAAACCUCUCUCUCUUCUUCUCCUCCUACUCUGUCUUGGGAAUCCGAAAGCAGAUGCUCCUACUGCCUGCCUUGUGCUGUGUUGUCAAUGCUCCCCUUCCUCUCCCUGGGUUUCUAAAGGGUGUAGCUUGUGUAUAUAUUUUGGUAGUAUUUGAAAGGUACAAAGGUAAAUCCCAAAUUGCCCUGGGUUUGCCCUCAUGCAGUGUCUGAUUGGAAGCUUCUCUGUAGGCUGAACAGCCAUUUGUCCCUGCUUCCCUGGGGCAGGGACUGUUUGCUGGAAUUGCUCCAGAUCUGGUUAAAUGGUAGCAAUAUGAGAAAAGGUGUACCUUGCAUUCUUCCUUUUGGAUCCACCUGAGAUGAACUGAUUAACUUUUCUUUCUGCAGCUUGAAUUUACUUAGGUGACUGGUGCUCCUCCCUCUGUUUUUCUUUUUCCCUUUUAUUAAACUUUUUUGGAGGAUAGGUACCCAACAUCGUGCAUGAUUGUGAUCCUGCACAUCCUGAGAAAUAUUAAGAUUAAGGCAUGAGCAAUACAAUUAUGUUAGAACUACCUUAUGCCCUGGAUUGUGGUGCUGUGCUUAAAAAAAGUGCUUUAUUGUCUUACUGAAUUGUGAGGAGGGAAGGAAAUUUUGAGCUGUCUGCAGACUAAUCAGCUUGCUCUCCUGAUCCUGCCUGUUUAAAAUGACUUUAUUAGCCUUGGAAGCCUUUAUACUGAAACUGUAUUGCUGCCCAUUAGAAAACAUAAAUGAAUAUUUAAAAGCCUCUGGCUUUUUUUUCCUCCCAGCUUGCCUAACCAAAUGGCUUCGAUUAUCCUUCAAGUAGAUUUUUUUUUUUUUUGGUUUCCUCGGAAACUGGCUGUUUGGGGUUUUUUUAUUCUUCUCAGCCUGCCCUUAAGAUUUUAAUUCUGAUUCAUGUGAAUUUUUUUAAACGGCACAACACUCGCAAGUCCCAGUUCAUUGUGCAGCUUCAUAACCUGUGGACAGAGUAUAUGCAGAACAGAAUGAUGGUAGGGAUACUCUGUCUGCCAGUAGAGAAGCCUCCUUUAGUUGAUGUCUCAGUCCCAAGUACACCAGCUGAACAGCUGUUCCUGUUUUGCAGAGCUAAUGCAAUCUGCAUGUUUAAUUUAAUCAUAGGAUUUUUAAUGAGACCCUCUUCCCCCAUUUCCCAUUCCAAAAAGCUAUCUGGGAACAUUACACCAAAAGAAAACAGAGCUUUUUCCUCUUCACCAUCCACUCAAGAUCCAGCACCCUGAGAUGUGCGCCUACU